rnacentral:lncRNA from 1 species
AUGAUACUCUAUUACCUUUACGAUGAUAGCAGGCCUCCUGGGAGCGCUCCUCUUGCAGCUUGUCAGAAGGGGGGAAUGCACUGCCAAAAAGAAACCAUCAUAGGAGCAGAGGGAUUAGUGAUAGCUUUCUGGGUACAGUCUUCCAAAUGCAGUUCUGUUUAUUUACAAGCAUUUCCAGCUUUGUUUCCCUACAACAUGCUAGUGUGCAGGUCAGUGGGCAGGAGACAGAAAAAUUGGACACUUUCUUCCUGCUUGGGUUCCUGCUUACUCAUGGACAGAAAAAGUUCCUGCUGCCCAGAUAGUCCCAAGCUGAGACUGCACAAGCGCCUGCUUCUCCUUGUACUGUACCCAGUCUCCUAUUGCAUCGCAUCCUUCUGACACCAGCUAAGUCCUGCUGCUGUCAGGUACAGCUGGAUAACUGUCUGCAGUGAUGGAGUGGCUGCCAACCCCGUUGUUUGGUAUUUUUUUCCUUCCUGCUUGAAACUUCUACUUUAGAACUUCACUGGAAUCAAGCUUUGUAGUACAUAGACAGUGGAAAUGUUGCCUGGGAGAAAUAAGAGAACGACUGUGAAAGUACAGAACCUAUAGAGAGGAGAAAAGUAAGGACAACCUACCUGGUCACCCCUGAAGUUGCAUAUCAGCCACACUGUAUGGAGAGAGACAAGACUAGAUGUGUCUGGUGGGGCUCCUACCGUGCCAAGCAGUGCACAGAUUUGAAGGCAACUACAGUUCCUAUUUUAAAUGUACAUAUGACAUUGCCUUUUAAUUAUUUCUUCAGAGUUUCAAUCAUAUAUUUUCCAGCCACUAUGCCCCUGAGCUCUGGCUGCCCGCUCUUUGCUUACCUCCUGCUAAGUGUAGCCUAGGAGAGGUCCUUUGUGUUUAUCCAGAGCCCAGAGUUCAACUCCUCACCUUUCACUACUGCUGCGGAAACUUUAUGAGGGUUUAGGCAAAGGAGUUGGGGGUGUGUUUCCAGGCAGGAGUUGGCUGUCCCCUCCCAGACAAGUCAUGUGAAGCCAGGGCCAUGUCACUGGCAGUACUGGCAGCGUUCCCUGUGCAUGUGCACAUGCUGUCAUUCGGUUAAGCAUUCAGAAUACAUCUCUGCAGGUAAGGGUUUUUCACCAAGAGAUAAUGACCGUGUCUGAGAAUAAAGAAGGCAGCUACACCUUAAAAAUAAAUAGUUUUUGCAAUGCCCUAACUCAUGUUUUAAGCACAAAAUAGCUAAUGCCAGUGCAACUGAAUGAGUCAAAGGUGUAUUUGUUAAAAGCAUAAGGGUUACUGCGGAUCGUGGCCAAAAACAGCAGUCCAAGAUUUCGUUGUGUUGGCCUAACUACAGAUUUCACCAUGAGUUGCUGCAUAGUGUCUUCAGGCAGUUGCAGGUACUGGUUCUAUCUGUAAGGAUGAGACGCAAAUAGGUUAGAAUGUGCUUGGGCUCAGUUGUGUUUAAAUAUGCUUACAGACCAUAAAGUCUGUAAUUACAGUAUUGCAAGAUGUAAUUUGCAGUAGUAUUUGUCUUUAUUAUGCAGAUGUGGCCCUAAUCUACUACUUAUCUAAUAUACAGUGUCCUAUUAUGAGCUAAACUCUGAGAAUCAUGGAAUCAUUAAGGUCGGAAAAGACCUCCAAGAUCAUCUAGUCCAACCGAAGAAGUGAGGGUGUUACUGGACAUAUGGUACCAGAUUUAUUUUUCCACUCAAGGAAAGACAAGGACCAUCUCCUCUCCCUCACGGUUAGCUUUGCAUGGCCAUACAUGUGUGAAGCAAUAUAUGUUGUUGUAAGCAGCAUCUCAAGCUAGCAGUAGUUAAUGCUGCAUAGCACAAUAGUAGAUCUGCAAGCACGAAUAGUGGUGGUGCCUAGUUGUCUCUGCCUGACUUCUUCCACCUACCAUUAUAUCUAUAUUUUUAUCAAUUAACUUUUUCUUGAAGGAAUAUUCCUGAACUCCCCCCUCUCAACCAGUGCUGUGUGUCAUCAGUAUGGUACACUUUUGCUGCUGUUUCAUUUCAGAUUUAGAAGCUUUGCUGUUUUUAUCGCCACUUUCUCUUGACUCAUAGCAUCAAUUCCCUGGUGGGGAGUUUUUUUAGUUCUCAGCUGUUGCUACUAAUUGUUAUUUACUGUAGACAGCAGACUCAACAGGGAGCAACGCAAUUCCUCCAAACUAUUUGCACAUGUACCGAGGAGGAAGUGGGAAAUGGCAUCUCAGGAGAAUGAACGCUGUCCCGUCCUUUUUUUGGACUUGAUCUUGCACUGGGAGGGCUGUUCAUCCAAUAUGCUAAAGACUGUGAUAAGCCCGUGAAUUUCACAGACCUCAGUGUUCUUUUUUAACCUCUGUUCAAUUCAGACACGGGUUAUAUCUGAAAGAUUUAUGCCCAGUAGUAACAGACAGAUUAGAGCAUUAGUCAUAAGGAUGUAAACUUCAUUUACCUGCUGCUGCAAGUCUGGGUCUAGUGCAGGUCAGCAGUAACCUGAAAGCUGCUUCUGUUGGUUAGCCUGGGCCCUAAACUGGUACUGUCACCAGAAACCCUCCAGUUAAUGCAAUCCCUGCCAAGGCUCAGCUCUGAGGAAUGCACAAAGUCUGAUUUUCUCUUAGUAGAAACGCUUUUUUGAUCAGACACUUCAUAAAAUAACUUCUCUGUGUUAAAGGUGAUAACUUUCUGCCAAUUUAGCAUGUUGCGUGACUUGCACAACCUGAGUGAAGUUCUGAGCUGAGGAGGCAAAAUGGGAACUAUCGCCUACAGAGAUAAACGUGGCAUCAAAACACAGCUCAGAAGAUGCUGACAGCAUCAAGGUCGCUUGAUAGAGAGCAGCGUCCAGAAAAAACCCUCUCCUUUUACAUCUAUGUUUCUGCUGAGGCAUGAAUGCUAAAUCUGGGAGACUGAACUGUGCCUGGAGUGCGAGAGAUACCAAGAUUUAUGUAUUUUUUCCAGGUACUUUUAUUUAUCUGAUUGGUAAGCAGGCAGCUGAGUCAGUGAAGGCUUCCAGCUGACCCCGAAGGGUGGGCAGAAGUAAUUCUGCAGCACUAUGAGGAAUAUAAUCUGUUUUUAACAGAUGCAACCCUGCCCGGGGAGGCUGGCAGCCUGAGGGUGAGGCAAUACGAUGGCAGCGCUUUGACCAGAGAACCUCCACAUCAAUCACGGAUCUGCCAUCAGCCCGCAAAGCAGCGGUGCUGGCGGCUGCGUGACACCAGAAGCCGUGUCGGGCCGUUUUGGGGAAGUUUUGGUGUUAAUGGGACUUAAAUAACGUGUCUGGGGCAGGAGCAGCUGAGCGCUGCCACACGGGGCCGGAACAGAGACCGCUGAGGCGAGGCGGAGCUGGCAGGGCAGGGUCGGGCCGGGUGACAAAGGCCCGCAGCUCCCCCCCCCACCCGCAGCCUUUGGACUCGCCCAAGCUCCGCGCUCUGUGAGCGCUGGGCGAGUCCAUCGCCUGCCUGAGGGGGAGGAGCCGCGGCAUCCCCUCAGCCCAAGGGCAGCGGCUUUGCGCAUGCGCACAGCUCCCCGCGUGGCGCUCCUCCCUCCCAACUCCCCUCCCCUACAGGCGCGCGCGCGGCGGGCGCGCGGCACAGGGCACGUUGCGGCGCGCGCGCGCCCGCUCCCCUCGGCUUUCCCCAGCGCUUCUCGCGAGACCCGGCGACAGGGCGAGGCGGAAAUCCCGCCUUAAAGCCCCGGCGGGAGGCCUUGAGUGCGCCUGCGCGGGGCGCCACAGGCCCGGCCCCGGCUUCCGGGCAGGUAGCGGCGGGGGGAGGGGGAGGGGGAGGGGGAGGGGGGGGCCGGGACCCCUCAGAGCGCCUCAGGGACCCCUCGGAGCCCCCCCGGCCCUGCCCAGGCUCCCCGCAGCCCCCCCGGGCCUGUCCCGGGAGCUUCCCCCCGGGGCCGGGCGGGUGGCGCGGGGCCGCCCCGAGGCGCUCCCGGGGCCGUAACCGGGCUGUGGGGGCGGCAGGGCCCGGUUGGGGCCCGGCUCUGCCUCAGGGUGAGGCCGGGCCUCGCCCAGCGGCCUGCCGGGUGCCUCAGCCCGGGGUGGGUUGGGGUGAGGGGCUCCGGGAGCUGCGCUGUUACCUGUGUCCCCCGCAGCUUCUCCUUCGCCGUGUCUGCAGGCUCCUAAAAUCCCCCAAAUCCUCUAAUAAACUUCACGCGGGCGAUCGGGAGGUGCAAACAGAGCCGUGAGCUGCUUUGCCGGAUCGCUGCUUCCUUCACGUAGAUCUUUGUUCACGUAAAACAC